GUCAUAGUCACAGCUACUGAUUCACCUGCCUUCCUGUCUGGUUUUUGCGGGCCCUGGGAGGAAGUGUUUAUUGGCUCCUGAGUCACCAGCCCCUGCCACCUGCUGGCCUCUCCCCACAAGUGUCCCCCUUUCCAUGUUGCUUCCCCUUUGACCCUAGGAUUUCUGCUCUCUGUCUGUUCUCUGGGUGGCGCAGCCAAUCAGCUUGUGAGAUCAGAGACGUUGAGCUUGCCAAGGUGGAUGUCGUUCUAGUUAUGCACAUGUAUAAGCAGGUGUGGGCCUUGUGUUGAGGAGGGAAGCCCUGUGUCCCAGGUUCUUACAUGCUGUCUGCUGAGAAGUCACUGCCCGGGGACUCCUAGCACCCAUGUGAGCCAUGACAGCUGGAAAAAAGGAUUGGCUCUAAAAUAAGAACACUGUAAAAAGGAAAUCAAUAAAUCCAUCAUCCAAUGUCCAAC
rnacentral:lncRNA from 1 species